rnacentral:antisense_RNA from 1 species
CAUAUCCAAAUAUGAUAGCUGGGUUUAAAGUUGGGUUAUUAAUUAAUCGUACAUCUCCUCCACCAGGAGCCCAUGUGUCAUAUACUCCACCGAAAAAUAAAGCUUUAAUCACAAGUAAAAACGACCCUAUGCCUAGUAAUACAAGAUGUAUACCAAGAAUUGUUGUCAUUUUAUUUUUAUCUCUCCA